AUUGAACGCUGGCGGCAUGCUUUACACAUGCAAGUCGAACGGUAACAGGUUAAGCUGACGAGUGGCGAACGGGUGAGUAAUGCAUUGGAACGUGCCCGGUCGUGGGGGAUAACGCAGCGAAAGCUGCGCUAAUACCGCAUACGAUCUGAGGAUGAAAGCGGGGGACCGUAAGGCCUCGCGCGAUCGGAGCGGCCGAUGUCAGAUUAGGUAGUUGGUGGGGUAAAGGCUCACCAAGCCAACGAUCUGUAGCUGGUCUGAGAGGGCGACCAGCCACACUGGGACUGAGACACGGCCCAGACUCCUACGGGAGGCAGCAGUGGGGAAUUUUGGACAAUGGGCGAAAGCCUGAUCCAGCAAUGCCGCGUGCAGGAAGAAGGCCUUCGGGUUGUAAACUGCUUUUGUACGGAGCGAAAAGGUCUCCUCUAAUACAGGGGGCUCAUGACGGUACCGUAAGAAUAAGCACCGGCUAACUACGUGCCAGCCGCCGCAGUAA
rnacentral:rRNA from 1 species